UGGGGAAUAUUGCACAAUGGGCGAAAGCCUGAUGCAGCAACGCCGCGUGAGUGAUGAAGGCCUUCGGGUUGUAAAGCUCUGUCUUUUGGGACGAUAAUGACGGUACCAAAGGAGGAAGCCACGGCUAACUACGUGCCAGCAGCCGCGGUAAUACGUAGGUGGCAAGCGUUGUCCGGAUUUACUGGGCGUAAAGGAUGCGUAGGCGGAUUUUUAAGUGAGAUGUGAAAUACCCGGGCUUAACUUGGGUGCUGCAUUUCAAACUGGGAAUCUAGAGUGCGGGAGAGGAGAAUGGAAUUCCUAGUGUAGCGGUGAAAUGCGUAGAGAUUAGGAAGAACACCAGUGGCGAAGGCGAUUCUCUGGACCGUAACUGACGCUGAGGCAUGAAAGCGUGGGUAGCAAACAGGAUUAGAUACACUGGUAGUCCACGCCGUAAACGAUGAGUACUAGGUGUAGGAGGUAUCGACCCCUUCUGUGCCGCAGUUAACACAAUAAGUACUCCGCCUGGGAAGUACGAUCGCAAGAUUAAAACUCAAAUGAAUUGACGGGGGUCAUAGCUG
rnacentral:rRNA from 1 species